rnacentral:rRNA from 1 species
UACAGAGGGGGCAAGCGUUAUUCGGAAUUAUUGGGCGUAAAGGGCGCUUAGGCGGCUUGGCAAGUGGAUGGUGAAAUCCCUCGGCUUAACCGAGGAACUGCCGUCCAAACUGCUUCGCUUGAGACCGGGAGAGGUGAGUGGAAUUCCCAGUGUAGCGGUGAAAUGCGUAGAUAUUGGGAGGAACACCAGUGGCGAAGGCGGCUCACUGGACCGGUACUGACGCUGAUGCGCGAAAGCGUGGGGAGCAAACGGG